rnacentral:rRNA from 1 species
ACGCUGGCGGCGUGCCUAAUACAUGCAAGUCGAACGGCUUUUCUAUGGAAGCUUGCUUCCGCUGAGAAGAUAGUGGCGAACGGGUGAGUAACAACGUGGGUAACCUGCCCAUAAGAGGGGGAUAACAUCCGGAAACGGGUGCUAAUACCGCAUAGUUUUCUUGAUCGCAUGAUUGAGAAAGGAAAGAUGGCCUUUGUGCUGUCGCUUAUGGAUGGACCCGCGGCGUAUUAGUUAGUUGGUGAGGUAACGGCUCACCAAGACGAUGAUACGUAGCCGACCUGAGAGGGUGAUCGGCCACAUUGGGACUGAGACACGGCCCAAACUCCUACGGGAGGCAGCAGUAGGGAAUCUUCCGCAAUGGACGAAAGUCUGACGGAGCAACGCUGCGUGAGUGAAGAAGGUUUUCGGAAUCGUAAAACUCUGUUGUCAGAGAAGAACAAGUUGGAGAGUAACUGCUCCAGCCUUGACGGUAUCUGACCAGAAAGCCACGGCUAACUACGUGCCAGCAGCAGC